GAUUAAUUACCUAUAUACAAUUUAGUUGCAUAGAACUUCUUGUUUGAAAUUGAUUGUGCAUAUUCAUCUCAAAUCAACUAAAGGGCAACACCCAUUAACAAGAUAAGGUGAAAAUUUUAUCACCCCUCCUUAGCCCAAAAAUCACGAACCAGCAUCCCGCAUUAACUCAAGCUUAAUUAAAAUUAAGUAGACGUUGGCCCCUAGGAUCAAUUGAGUUCAGUUUGAGUAUUAUGGUGAAGUCAAGUGCAAAGUAAGUUUAAACUCACUCCUGAAAUUAGUGUCUAAGAUAAGAGAUUACAAAGGCUAAGCCUAAGUAGACUCAUGGUUAUUUAAUUGGUUCCGUUAGUUUAUCUGGCCAAUCUAAUUGGUAUCUAAGGCAAGUAACAGGGGGAUCCCCAUGACCCCACCUCUUACCUGGCUAGUUGAAGAAAGUGAGAACAGACCCAACUUGC
rnacentral:lncRNA from 1 species